CCACCUCCUCCGCACGGCAGGGGGGCGCCUUCCUCAGGACACCUGUGCUGCCGUCACAAACAGCUGUUAGUCUGUUGCUGUCUUCUUUCACCUCCCAUCUGACUCGGAUUACCCCGCAUGCAGAGUGCCCCGCACACGGUAUGUUAUUCCAAAGAUUCAGCCAAAUUAAGGACAGAGAGGAGAAAAAGCAGGCAGGGAAGCUUCAGAUGAAACCUCCCGGAGGAUCCAGUGGAAUGCCAAAGGUGAAGGAAGAGUUGGUCCCCACCUCAGCCCUUCCCCGGAACUUCUGGCAAGAGGCAACAGAACACCGAAGGCUCAGAGGCAGACAUUCACAAAACUAUAGGAAGACCUCUGUGGCUAAAGAAUAAGUGAAGGAGAGGUGGAGAGCUAUGCUCUUUGAAGGAGCCUGAUCAGAACUGUGAAAGGAAGACCAGUCGUGUUCUCAAUUUCUUCAUUUCCAGGGAAGAGAUCUGACACAAGUGUGAACUGGCCUGGAUCUGCCUCCUCUUGGUUAAGGAGCCAUCUCUACAGUCAUCCUCUGUCCUGGGCAGUGGCAAGUGUGGAUUUUCUUAGCCCAGGCCAGCUGACCUCAGACACCAGCGUUAUCUGCGGAGACCGACCCCAACCUGCUCUUGGCACGCCGAGAUGUUGACAACACCUCUUCUUCUUCUGCUGGAAGCAGAUACAGUCUGCAAACACCAUCACACAAUCACGAGAAUUCUCUCGGCCUCUUCCCACACCACGGACCCGUCCACACAGCAUUACCAUCAGGCAGGCAAGCUGAGGCAGCAAGAAUCUGUUUAUGCUGACAGCCGACGCGUGGGUGGGUAGGCACCGUGCCCUAGAAGCAAGUACUAUUAAGGCUUAAGGAUGCAGGCUUGAAUUUAUAUAUUUGUAUAAGAUCAACCCCCCCCCCCUCCUUUGUUCUGUCUCUGCGGUCCCUCAUUUCCCUUGAAUCUCUUUCGUGAUGGUGGUACAAUAGUACCUACUCCAGGGUGCUGUUAGGCAAGGAUUUCUACUUCUUCCCAUUAGCAUUUCAUUGUUCCAUAGGUUUUAGGUGUUCCUGUGCCCUGCUAGCCUGAGGACACCAGAAACUGUUCCAAUGGUCACUUCUACCAGUUAGUGUUUACUACAUAACAAAUUGCCCCUUGAUGGCUUAAAAUAACAACCAGUUUUUAGCUCACAACUCUGCCGUUUGGCCAUUUGGACUGAGUGCAUGUAGAUAGUUCUGGCUGGGGAUUCGCUGGUUGAAGGGCCUCAGUUGAAAUGGCUUAUCUCUACUUUGCACGGUUUCUCGUCUUCCAGCAGGCUAUCCCAGAAUGGUCACCUGGUGACUGCAGUUUUCCAAGAACAAAACAUUGGAAGUUGCAAGGCCUCUUCCCCCCACCCUUAGUUUUAUUGAGAAAUAAUUGGCAUAUAUCAUUAUAUAAGUUCAAGGUGUAGCACAUGAUGGUUUAAUUUACAUAUGUCAUGAAAUGAGCACCACAAUAGGUUUAGUUAAUAUCCAUCUUCUCAUAUAGAUACAAUAAAAAGAAAAAAAUUCUGACGACGAGUGUUCUUAGGAUUUACCGUCUUAACGAUUUUCCUAGAUAUCAUCCAGCAGCGUAGCUAAAGUCAUCAUGUACAUUACAUCCCUAGUGCUUAUCUAUCUUACUACUGGAGGUUUGUACCUUCUGACCACCAAUUCCCUCUCCCUUCCCUCUUGCCUCAAGCAGCUACAAGGCUUUUUCCAUAUCUCUUUUCUUACGAGUUUGAUUUUUUUAAAUUUUUCAUCAGAGUCUACGUAUAAGUGAGAUCAUACAGGAUUUGUCUAUCUCUGACUUAUUUCACUUAGCAUAAUUUCUUCAAAGUCCAUCCGUGUGUUGUAGAUGAUAAGACUUCCUUUUUUUAUGGCUUACUAACCUUCCAUUUUACACACACACACACACACACACGUAUGCGU